rnacentral:rRNA from 1 species
CAGCCGCCGCGGUAAUAUGAAGGGGGCUAGCGUUGUUCGGAAUUACUGGGCGUAAAGGGUGCGUAGGCGGCCAUUCAAGUUAGAUGUGAAAGCCCUGGGCUCAACCUAGGAAUUGCAUUUGAUACUGUUUGGCUUGAGUUCGGGAGAGGUGAGUGGAAUUCCCAGUGUAGAGGUGAAAUUCGUAGAUAUUGGGAAGAACACCAGUGGCGAAGGCGGCUCACUGGACCGACACUGACGCUGAGGCGCGAAAGCGUGGGGAGCAAACAGGAUUAGAUACCCCAGUAGUCCCUGUCUCUUAUAC